rnacentral:rRNA from 1 species
CCCUUAGAUGUUCUGGGCCGCACGCGCGCUACACUGAUGCAUUCAACGAGUCUAAAACCUGCUCUGAUAGGGGUGGGUAAUCUUUUGAAUGUGCAUCGUGAUUGGGAUAGAUGAUUGAAAUUUUUCAUCUUCAACGAGGAAUGCCUAGUAAACGCAAGUCAUCAGCUUGCAUUGAUUACGUCCCUGCCCUUUGUACACACCGCCCGUCGCUCCUACCGAUUGAGUGGUCCGGUGAGGCUUUGGGAUCUGAGCAAAGAGAGCGUUUCGCUCGUUUUGCCCGGAAAACUCAGUCGAACCUUAUCAUUUAGAGGAAGGAGAAGUCGUAACA